rnacentral:lncRNA from 1 species
CUUGGUCUGGAACUUCUAGUGUGUAAAACUGUGAGACAACACAUUUCUGUUGUUUAAGACACACAAUCUGUGGUACUUUGAUACAGCAGCCCCGACAAACUAAUACAUGGGGUGUCUCAUUGCAGUUUUCAUCAGUAACACCCAUUAUGAACUGAAAACGUCUGCUACUUUUAAGAUCCAACUUGAAUGCUUCCUGAUUAAAUAUAUACAGGAGUGAUUUCAGAGGAAUUUAAGUUUUGGAUCAUUCUUUUGAGAAAGAAAGAAAAGUACCCUUUUAAAAGAGGUUCAACAAAGCCAUUAAGACUAACCGUUUUUGCUGGAGCUGCAAGAUUUUCCAUUUCUUCAUGAGUCACCCAAACGUUGCCUGAAGGCUAGUGAGGAGGCCCAGAGGGAAGCAGAGGAAUCCAUGGGAGGCAAGCAGUGGUAAAGAAGAAAGGCAGCACCUCUACUUUCUUCUGCCACUGCCACUCCUGAGACAACAUGACCAAUCUCUCCCCUUCCUCCUCCUCAGCGUACUUUCAACAUAAAGACGACGAGGAUAAAGGCAUUUAUGAUGAACUACUUCCACAUAAUGAAUAAUUGAACAAAGGAGAGAAUUGUGAGAGUGAGAAAAAGUGAGACAAAGAAGAAAAACUAUAAAUCAGCAAAAUACAGUGCCAAGAGCUCUGGACCACAAAUCAGAAGACCUGAGCCCUAAUUCCUUUCCAGUCAUUGGAUUUGUUCGUCGCUUGCCAAAACAGCAGCGAACUCUCUGUCAAACUGCAACUCAUUUUAUCGGAGCAAAAACUGAACAAAGAACUGCUAUCAUUUCUGAGGUCAGAGGCAGUGCAGCUUGUGUUACAACUCAAAAGAGUAAUACUCUGAAAAAAGAAAAAAAAAGAUGGCGCUGAAAAUAAACAUGUUCAGCAGCCAUUGUGAUUCAACUUACCCAGAUGUGCUUUUCAUGAGAUGGAGAAGGACGGAUGGAAAAGAAAAGCACACAAAUGUUAAUGGAUACAGUUCAAUCCAAAGAAAACCAUGGAAUAAAACAAGAGCAUUAUUUAAGAUGUGAGAAAGCUCAGGUAUGAGAAAGACAUGGUG